ensembl:lncRNA
CGUGAAUGAAGUGGAAAACAGUUGAUGGGAGGAUAUGCAGGUUGUGCCUGAGGUCACAGAGUGCAGAAAGUGAAGGCCGUAGAGUACAGCUGAGAGCCAAGCGCCUCCUUAUUGGUCAGCCCGGACAGAAAAGGGGCGUGUCAAAGCGCGUGAGUCCGCCUAGAAAAAGUGAGGACAGAGACAGUGUCCAGAGCGGGAGGGUGAUGUCUGUCUUAUCCUCAGCUACGGCUCGGACGGAGCGAGAUGAGCCAUGAAUCCACCUCACUUUGAGUUGCCAUCUUUUCCAGCGCUCUGCAUACUAACAGCGUUACGUAAUUAUACAGUUAUACGAAUGACCGGGUUACGCCAAAAAACCACACACUACCGCACUAAAUACCGUACGAGGCGUAGUUUUGUGCGUACUGUUUCGACGGGUAGUGAUUCAACGCUCGCUUAAAGUUCGAGCCCGGUCAAAAACAAACAAACAAACAGCCGUUUGAAACGGGAAGCGCGUCGGUACUGAAAGUUGGAGGCAGGUCGAAAACUGUGUACAAGACUGAAGAACAUGGCGAGCCGGUAAACACCGCGACGUGAACAGGAACGAGGCAGCGAGCGGAAAAAGCCACUGACGACCGAGUUCAAGUCUUCAGAGAAAUUCGCUGAAAGCAAGGCUGACAACGAUGUGAAAACUCCGGUGAGUGUAUAAUAUUUAUGAUACAGUACUGCACGUUCACCAUGACGGUUUAUCUCCGAAUUUAUCCACCGGAAAUGUUCAGUUUAAAAAUGUUUUCAAGUCUACACCGGGUUACCCGGAAAUGACCUCAUUAGAACGACCGGACUAUUUCACUAGAUCAUACAUGUUCAGUGUUUUUACCACUUAGCUUCUCAGUUAUAUCUACAGUCUCUGGUCGAACUGGGAAGUUCCUUGUGAGUGUGGAAAAUGUAAAUAUAUCACAUUUGAUUCUAUAUAUGAGAAUAAAUUUGCAUAACCUGUUUAUUUCUUCCUUCAUGUAGGGAACGCUUACUAAUGAGUUCAUUUUGUAGCUUCUGCUACCUCUCUUCUGAACGUAACCGGAAGUCAGUAAUGUCUGUAGGCCUGCAGAUGUUCUGCAGUUGCAUGAUCUGCCCCGCUAUGUGCCCUUUUGCUCUGGUUUUCUUCUGCCUCAGAGGACAGGGUGUUCUUCAUUUACAAAAGAAGCAAUGGAUCUUAAGUUAUUCCAAGUAGAGUUAGAAAUUUGGAGAUUAGUCUACUGCAGAGGAAAGAAAGAUGUACUACUGUAAGCAUUUUGAUUUGCAGUAGUUUGCAUGUUAACAGUAGUAUAGACUUUUUUUUUUUUUUUUUUUUUUUUUUUUUUUUAAAUGGCUUGUGAGAAGAGAAGGAGUGGGACUGUGUGUCAUUUGUUAUUGUAUGUCAAAUAGUGGGCUCCCUCUGAGUAUGGAAAGUUGGCUUUCUUGGGAGUGUUCCCAUGGAGAUAGG